rnacentral:rRNA from 1 species
UACGUAGGGGGCAAGCGUUGUUCGGAUUUAUUGGGCGUAAAGAGCGUGUAGGCGGCCAUGUAGGUCCGUUGUGAAAACUCGAGGCUCAACCUCGAGACGCCGAUGGAAACCAUGUGGCUAGAGUCCGGAAGAGGAGAGUGGAAUUCCUGGUGUAGCGGUGAAAUGCGCAGAUAUCAGGAAGAACACCCGUGGCUAAGGCGGCUCUCUAGUACGGUACUGACGCUGAGACGCGAAAGCGUGGGGAGCGAACAGG